rnacentral:rRNA from 1 species
UUCUCCCUGAGACUUAGAGUCUCCUGAAGGAACGUUGAAGACGACGACGUUGAUAGGCCGGGUGUGUAAGCGCAGCGAUGCGUUGAGCUAACCGGUACUAAUGAACCGUGAGGCUUAACCUUACAACGCCGAAGCUGUU